GACAGGUCGUAAGGUCAGAAUACUGUAACAUGUAAAUAGUCUAGAAAGACAGGUCAUAAGGUCAGAAUACUGUAACAUGUAAAUAGUCUAGAAAGACAGGUCGUAAGGUCAGAAUACUGUAACAUGUAAAUAGUCUAGAAAGACAGGUCGUAAGGUCAGAAUACUGUAGCAUGUAAAUAGUCUAGAAAGACAGGUCGUAAGGUCAGAAUACUGUAACAUGUAAAUAGUCUAGAAAGACAGGUCGUAAGGUCAGAAUACUGUAACAUGUAAAUAGUCUAGAAAGACAGGUCGUAAGGUCAGAAUACUGUAACAUGUAAAUAGUCUAGAAAGACAGGUCGUAAGGUCAGAAUACUGUAACAUGUAAAUAGUCUAGAAAGACAGGUCGUAAGGUCAGAAUACUGUAACAUGUAAAUAGUCUAGAAAGACAGGUCGUAAGGUCAGAAUACUGUAACAUGUAAAUAGUCUAGAAAGACAGGUCGUAAGGUCAGAAUACUGU